CACCUGCUGAAUACCCCUUGGAGGGCAGG
rnacentral:sRNA from 1 species